ACAAAUCCAAUACUUGUGGGGGACUACCAAGUCUUUCUGCAAAUAUUAAUCCGCCGGCUCUAGUAGCUGGCUGUGAUAAUAAUAUAAAUGCGUGUAAUGUUGACAGUGUGUGUGAUUAAUUUUAAUUUAUUGA
rnacentral:misc_RNA from 1 species